AAGGAGUCUAACACAUAUGCGAGCAGUAGGGUGGAAAACCCGGAUGCGCAAUGAAAGUGAACGGAGGUACCCGCAGCGUGCACCAUCUACCGCCCAGCUGCAUCGCUGGUUUGAGAAGGAGCAUAGAUGUUGGGACCCGAAAGAUGGUGAACUAUGCCUGAAUAGGGUGAAGCCAGAGGAAACUCUGGUGGAGGCUCGUAGCGAUUCUGACGUGCAAAUCGAUCGUCAAAUUUGGGUAUAGGGGCGAAAGACUAAUCGAACCAUCUAGUAGCUGGUUCCUGC
rnacentral:misc_RNA from 1 species